CCCUUCGGGGGACAAGUAGAGUGGCGCACGGGUGAGUAACACGUAGGUAAUCUACCUUCGGAUGGGGAAUAACAAUCGGAAACGGUUGCUAAUACCGCAUAAUGCAGCGGCACCUAAUGGUGACAGUUGUUAAAGCGGGGGAUCGAAAGACCUCGCGUCUGAAGAGGAGCCUGCGGCGGAUUAGCUAGUUGGUAAGGUAAUGGCUUACCAAGGCUACGAUCCGUAACCGGCCUGAGAGGGCGGUCGGUCACACUGACACUGACAUACGGGUCAGACUCCUACGGGAGGCAGCAGUCGGGAAUUUUGGGCAAUGGGCGAAAGCCUGACCCAGCAACGCCGCGUGAAGGAUGAAAUCCCUCGGGAUGUAAACUUCGCAAGAACAGGAAGAAUAAGUAGGGGACAAUACCCCCUAUGAUGACGGUACUGUUUGUAAGCUCCGGCUAACUCCGUGCCAGCAGCCGCGGUAAUACGGGGGGAGCAAGCGUUGUUCGGAUUUACUGGGCGUAAAGGGCGCGUAGGCGGCCAGCACAAGUCAGUUGUGAAAUCUCCGAGCUUAACUCGGAAAGGUCAACUGAUACUGUGCGGCUAGAGUGCAGAAGGGGCAACUGGAAUUCUCGGUGUAGCGGUGAAAUGCGUAGAUAUCGAGAGGAACACCUGCGGCGAAGGCGGGUUGCUGGGCUGACACUGACGCUGAGGCGCGAAAGCUAGGGGAGCGAACGGGAUUAGAUACCCCGGUAGUCCUAGC
rnacentral:rRNA from 1 species